rnacentral:rRNA from 1 species
ACGAUGAAGAGUUUGAUCCUGGCUCAGGAUGAACGCUAGCGGCAGGCUUAACACAUGCAAGUCGAGGGGUAACAGGGUGCUUGCACCGCUGACGACCGGCGCACGGGUGCGUAACGCGUAUACAAUCUACCUUUUAC